GGUUGAGGUUUACGCGUGGGGGCGUAGACCGCUGUGUUUUGCUAUUGUGCGGUCGUUACUAAAGUUGGUAUGACGAGAGAAGCAAACAGUCUGCAACAAUCAUCUCUUGAGUGGGUGUCUAACUCCGUGUUACAUGUGUUUGACCCUAAAUUAAUUUUACACCGGAAUAUCCCUUUAAGUGUCUGUAUCGUGUUUUGAUCCAGCUUCCUUUUAUCACCGCAUGUUAACAUUAGCCUAAACCUCUGCUCCUGCGCCGCAGGUGAGAACUGGUGCAUAAUCUCCUAGAAAAUGAUGUUUGAUGUCCUUCUUCUUUUUUAUUUCAACAACACAGACAGUAACUAGCGCUGUUGUGUUUUAUGCAAAAGUCUAUUAAACAACCCAUGAAUGUAUUUAUUGAUUUUUAUUCAUGUAGCAUCACUUUGCAAUGAGUUACCUUGCUGUGCUGUGCAGAAAGGACUCUUUGUUGUGGUAUUUAAAGCAAACCAUCAUAAACCCUUCGAUUUCUAUGCAGCUGCUGCGGAUGCCAGCUGUAAAAUCAUAGAUGUAUGGCGUCAGAAUGUGAUUAAUCUGGGUUAUUUUGGCAGCCCUGAUGAAAAUAAUGCAAUACAAACUCAUAGGUUUAAGUUUGCACAUGUGUUGUUUUAAAGUCAUUACGUUAAAUGGAAUAAAUUGAGUUUACUUGUUAUUUUACACACAUUUGUGUCUUUAGAGUAAGAUGAGGAACAGCAGGAACACCUGUGGCCCCGUGUAGCCGCCGUGAUUGUGUAAACCUGAGCGCGCAUCUGUGUAUUUUACCCACAUAUGCUGCAGUGAAGAGAUCAGGCUUAUCCGUUGUGACAGUCACUUUUAAGUCCUUUUCGAAACUGGGUGGUUCAAUUUACCACCCUGGCCCCCGACAGCCCCUGUGCCCUGCUCCAGCUGCUCACACACACACACACUCCUUUGAUAGGCUGUUGGACAAACCAUUGACCUUCACUUUGCAAUCUCUGAGGUCGAUCAGUAGGCCAUUCUUCCAUGUAAUGUUUACAUCUCUGCGGCCUAUUUGGCCACAAUGGGGGAGAUUGCCUUUGGUCAACAACCUGUGUCCACAAUGGCCAUUUUGCCAGGCUUGGCUCAGAGGGGGGGAGGCCAUCACAGCAGCACAGCACUGUGUCUCUUUUUUUUUUCGACUUAUUGAAAAGAGUUAGAUUAGGUUGGAGGGGACGAAUCAAAGGCAGAUUCUCUCUGAUAAACUUUCUUUUUUUUCUAAAUCUCCAAUAUAACAUCAUCUGUGGGUCACUUUAGGACGCUGUCCUCAUGAAAACUUAAGUCAGGGCUCUAAAAGACUGGAAAUUUUCAUACCAGCACAAGACCUGAAUGGGGCCUUAUUGUAUUGAGUGUAUAAAUUCAUAUGAGAAAAGAAAUCUCACGACUAAAUCUUGUGCUUUUGAGUAGUUUGGCUGAAUAAAAAUAUGAUUUAAUUAGCUGAAUUCAUGACGAUUAACAUAACUGGUUAUUUUUAAUUGCAGUGCGUGUCGAGCAGUAAAAAAGCAACUUCUUCCUCAGCAUGUUGGGGCUUUUUUUUAGUCUGUUUAACGCUCUAAAGAACAAUUUUAAUCAGAUAUUUCUGGUGUUUUAUUAGAUGUCUGAGGGUAAUAACUGAGAUAAGCAGCUUUAAAGCCAUCGAGUCACUGAAGGCUGACACUGGAGACUUCUGGAAACUCCAAAAACUGUUUUUUUUUCUCUAACUAGGACUAUUUUUGUUUUAUUUUUUCACUAUCCAAAGAGAUAUUAAAACAGAUGCGCUGUCCUUCUCUGCCUUUGCUUUUGUCAAAAACAAAGUAAGGAAAUCAGAGUGCUUUGUAUGAAACUCGUAGGAGUUAAGCACUAAAGGGAACACUGAAACCCAUUCUGUGAUCUGAGGAUGCAUGAAUCAAGAAUCUGAAACACUCAGAUGCCCACAAGUUUCACCCACUUUGAGGAAUUAUUAAUGAGCUCUCACUUCCACUUUUGGAAAAGGCAGUCCUGAUCAAAACCCAAUUUGCAUCUGCUUGACGAUAGUGAAAAUUGUAACAGGCUUAAUUUAUAAUCUCUGAAUUUUCCUCUAAUUUGGCUAAGAUUAGGUGUAAAUCUUCGAGCACUUCUGUUCUGUUGUUUAUGUCGAAUCCCUCGAAAUCCUCUCAAAUCUAUUUGUUCCGCUUUUAUGAUUGUAAAUCUAAAAACUAACAGUCCUAAUCAGACCUGAUAAUGCCGUCAUUUGAGGCUACGGUACUCCUCUGCUGAUGUGAAGACGUUUACACUUAAGUGAGCCGCCAACAUGCGAGUCAUGAAAUAGCAAAUUUCUGUUCCCUCAAAGGACCGCAAAGAUGCAAAAUGGAAAUAUGCGCAUGGCAGCAUCUGUGUGUAUGUGUGUGUGUGUGUGUGUAUGUGUGUGUGUGCUGUAUGAGAUUAGUGAAUCUAUAAAUCUGUGUGUGUGUGUGUGUUAGAGGUGACAGUCUGCCUGUAGAUCCACAGGGACUGAGCUGUGAGCAGGUGCACCGCUCAGUCCUGCAGCCAUGCCAGGACACACAGCCUCACCGUGCCAGAGAUGUCCGGCUUUCAUCCUCCCCCCCUUACCUCUCCAUCUCCCUCUGUCUCACCCUGUCUUUUCUCACUCCUCCCUCCCCGAACUUCCAAACGUCUCUCUUGCUUCCUAAUUUGCCUCCUGUCUUGCUUGUUUUCCCUUUCCUUCUCUUCACUUCCUGGUUCCUUUCACCUCUUUUUGCCCUCAACCAAAAAAAAAAAACCCACUCACAUCCUUCUCAUAUCCCUUGUAGUAAUGCUGUUUGAGUCAUCAUUUAUGAGACUUUGAAGCUUUCUCAAAUCCUUAAGGCUAUAAUGUUUUUGCACUAGAUGAAAAAAAGAAAGAAACAGUGACUUUAAAUUGAUUUAGACUCAUUUGUUUUGGGGGAUUAUCUAUUUGCACACCAUCCUACAGCGAAGUCAGGGCACAACGUGGAUGAUUAAAAUCUGUAUACCUGGGAAAGCACAAAGAUGAUUAUGGUAUUUUAACUGCAGUUGUCACAAACAGUUUCCUCUGUUCGAUUUCUUUUAUGUGAACUCCCAAUCAAACUUGAGUGUCUUGAUUUAUAUGAAGACAUGUAAGCUGAUGCAGUGUUGUUCUGGAUGCUUAAGAAAAUAAUUCGGUAUAAGGGGAUAAUUCCUGCAAAAACACUCAUUAAUAAAGAGGCUGCGAUAUUUUAGCUCGCUGGUAUUUAUUCCAAUUUCUUUUCUAUUUAUGUUUUAUUUGUUUGCUGUUCCUGAAAUAUAAAUAUUUAUAAAGUAUUUUUAUAUAAAAGCAAAAGUCCCUAAUGUGAAUUUCUAAGCAGUACACACUUCUAGUUUCUCUUAUUCAAUGAUGAAGACUAAGGUUUUGUUGUUUUUGUCCUUUUUUUCCCUUAAUUUAAGGCUCAUUUCAUUUCAAGCAAGGGCCAAUAUGUGUGUUUAUCCACAUACAGUACAUGUUCAAUAGGGUGACCAUACAUCCUUUUUUACCCGGACAUGUCCUCUUUUUGGGGCUGUCCGGGCUUGUCUGGCUUUGUCUGGGGAAGUUUAUAAAAUCCUUUGAAUGUCUGAUACACAGCUGAACAGUUCAGGAUUCAGUUCAGAUUAAAGCUUCUGAGACCCGGAGACAAGAAUGUUUGGCUGUGUUGCUUUAGCAAACAGGUUUGUAAAAAUGAACUUUUUUAUAAGUCAUGAUGUUUUAAGUGUACUGUCCUAUAGUAUGCUAUUUACCAGGUCUACCCUGUAAAUUGGGGUCAGUGAGUGAUUCGUUCACUGAACGAUUAGAAGAAUUCACACUGAACAUGCACCGUUUAAACCGAUGCAAUGGUAGGAUGCUGUGGGUUUAAUGCACUACUUGUUACACGCUGUGUCCUAUUGUAUGCAAGUUGUUGUGGUGGCAAUUUAGCACUGAAAAAAAAGGUAGUUUUGUCCGACAAAAAUGAUUCCAGAGAGUGUAGUUCAAUGUGUGAUUCCUUCACCAAGCUCAACUGAAGUGAGAAACGAACAAAUCACUCGAGGAAGAGAUUCGGUUCAGUACGUUCACUUAAAAGAUUUGAUUCUUUUGAACAAAUCAUUUGCAAACGACACAACACUAUUUUGUACAGAAGCUUUGAGUUUGUGUCGUGUGGACUUACUGAGUUAGAAGCGUGUAAAAGACACUCGACCCGACCCGAAACACUCUCAAAAUUAACUUAGUGCGACUCCGUGACUUCCCCCCACAUAGGUGUGUCCUCUUUUUGGGAAGUCAGAAUAUGGAAGUCACCCUAAUGCUCAAAUGCUGUCCCGUUUAGAAACAGUUGAAGUAGAAGUCGAGUCUGCUGCUAAACUGAUUGGCAUGUUUUUUUGUUUUUUUUUUAAACUUGGAACAACUGGGGACAAAACACAGUGAAUUUAUUAGACUAGUUAAAGUACACAUAUGUGUCGAAACAAACAGCUGUUGAAGCUGGAUGACAGCUGGUCCAGGUGAUCAACACAUGCUGGUGUUGCUUUAUGUGACGCUCUGGAGGAAAGGAGGUCCCCAGUCCCUCAAAACAAAUUCCAUCGUUCACUCUCUCCUUCUCUCCAGUGUUUGAGACCAAGACUUGAGCGAACAGAGCAAGUGAGGGACGCGGGUGUGGAGUUUAAUGGUUUUGAGACGAAGCCAGUUGAUGGUGUUGCUGUUAGCAUGCUAGAGGCAAUGUUAGCAAACAAAGUGAUUCAGCCACUCAAUUCAAGAUGUCUGCUGAGUUAAAAUUCCAAUUAAAUUUGGGUGGUUUGCAGGUAUUUUCGACUCUAGUAGUCACCAGCUGUGAUCCCCUGCAGCAGAAAUAAUGAAUUUAACCACUUAGAGAGCCACAGCCUGCAUUUAUGCACAGUGCACAGCUGUAGCUUCAUUAUUGGCUUAAAUCUCCAGACAUGUAUAAAAGAUUGAUUUCCCUUAAUUCUGAAUAGUCCCAUACAGACAGUUGGGGCUAAUAAAGGCUGGAGUUUAGGGUAAAAUAAUAGCCUACUCUUUAAAAAAGGAGAAUUUGACUCAAAUUUAGACAAUAGAAACUCGAAUGAGGUUUUCUUAAAGGGUUAUUCCGGUGUAAAAUUAAGUUAGGGUCAAACACACCGUAACAACCAGUUAGACACCCCUGCGAAAGAUGAAUGUUGCCGAACGCUUGCUUCUCUCGUCAUACCAACUUUGGUAACGACCACACGAUAGCAAUACACAGCGGUCUAGGUCUCCACAUGCAAACCUGGUCUUCAUCAACAUUACAUAUAGGGUCUAACCAUAGUCCCUGAUGAGUUGAUCACCGAGUGCAGCGGGGUUUCACAGCUCAAGGAAGAACAUUUAUUAUUAUUACUUCAUGGAAAUGCAAUCAGACCGAGACGCUAAGGCAGAAGAACUACUGCGCCUGCAGUGCAAAAUGAUUAAUAUGAUGAUUAUUAAUUCAUGGAAAUAAACUGCUGCACUUGGUGAUCAACUCAUCAAGGCUCCCCCACAAACAAGCGGCUGCUGGAGGAGAGUGGGUGAGUUGUGUUAGUCUCUUUAUUAAAGAAAUCAGGCAAAGCUAAAAAGAUGUUUGGUGGCUAGUACUAUGGCUGGGACCCUAUAUGUACUGUUGAUGAAGUUAGGUGCUGUUCUGAGCAUUAUUUGUGGCUACAGAGUGGCGUUUUGGUUGAGUGUACGGGUGGAGUGAGGGACUGUUGUGUAUUGCUAUCCUGCGGUCGUUGCUGAAGUUGGUAUAACUAGUGAAGCAAGCGGUCAGCAACAUUUAUCUCUCGCAGGGGUGUCUAACUCGGUGUUACGGUGUGUUUGACCAUAACGCUGGAAUAUCCUUUUAAGGUGUAGUGACUAAUCUACAACAAAAUAACAGUUUUUGGCCACGUUUAAAAGCACCAGACUCAGAUAGACAGAAACGUUGAUGAUUUCCUCUUCCUGCCAUCCAAGCUCCGCCCAUUCAAUACCAAAUUUCCCAGCUCCCUGUUGUCUUCCAAGCCUCCCCACAUAUAUUAAAACCUUCCAACAGUCACAGCCACCUGGUUUAUAGCCUCACUCCAUCUUCACCACAUGUCAGCACACACACAAACACACACACAAACACACACACACUCACAGCCAUGCCCACUAAUUUAGCCACACAGGCUGGACCCCAGAAUCUAAUCAGACCUUCCCACUGAAUUCAACCUGUGCUCUGCUCGUCUGCUGCCAGCUCC